UACGGGGGGGGCAAGCGUUGUUCGGAAUUACUGGGCGUAAAGGGCUCGUAGGUGGCCAACUAAGUCAUACGUGAAAUCCCUCAGCUUAACUGGGGAACUGCGUCUGAUACUGGAUGGCUUGAGUUUGGGAGAGGGAUGCGGAAUUCCAGGUGUAGCGGUGAAAUGCGCAGAUAUCAGGAGGAACACCCGUAGCGAAGGCGGCACUCUGGGCCGAUACUGACACUGAGGAGCGAAAGCGUGGGGAGCGAACAGG
rnacentral:rRNA from 1 species